UACGUAGGGGGCAAGCGUUGUCCGGAAUUAUUGGGCGUAAAGCGCGUGUAGGCGGCCAGAUAAGUCCGCUGUGAAAUCUCGAGGCUCAACUUCGAGCUGUCGGUGGAAACUGUCUGGCUAGAGUCCGGAAGAGGAGAAUAGAAUUCCUGGUGUAGCGGUGAAAUGCGCAGAUAUCAGGAAGAACACCCGUGGCGAAGGCGGUUCUCUGGGACGGUACUGACGCUGAGACGCGAAAGCGUGGGGAGCGAACAGG
rnacentral:rRNA from 1 species